rnacentral:rRNA from 1 species
GAACUGAAGAGUUUGAUCAUGGCUCAGAUUGAACGCUGGCGGCAGGCCUAACACAUGCAAGUCGAGCGGUAGAGAGAAGCUUGCUUCUCUUGAGAGCGGCGGACGGGUGAGUAAUACCUAGGAAUCUGCCUGAUAGUGGGGGAUAACGUUCGGAAACGGACGCUAAUACCGCAUACGUCCUACGGGAGAAAGCAGGGGACCUUCGGGCCUUGCGCUAUCAGAUGAGCCUAGGUCGGAUUAGCUAGUUGGUGAGGUAAUGGCUCACCAAGGCUACGAUCCGUAACUGGUCUGAGAGGAUGAUCAGUCACACUGGAACUGAGACACGGUCCAGACUCCUACGGGAGGCAGCAGUGGGGAAUAUUGGACAAUGGGCGAAAGCCUGAUCCAGCCAUGCCGCGUGUGUGAAGAAGGUCUUCGGAUUGUAAAGCACUUUAAGUUGGGAGGAAGGGCAUUAACCUAAUACGUUGGUGUCUUGACGUUACCGACAGAAUAAGCACCGGCUAACUCUGUGCCAGCAGCCGCGGUAAUACAGAGGGUGCAAGCGUUAAUCGGAAUUACUCGGCGU